CGCGGGAUGGAGCAGUCUGGCAGCUCGUCGCGCACAUAACCCGAAGGUCACAGGUUCUAAUCCUGUUCCAGCAACCA
rnacentral:tRNA from 1 species